rnacentral:lncRNA from 1 species
GGGACACAACACAACUCUGCAAUAAAUAUGCUAGGCCAUUCCAGGUGGACACAUUUUUCCAAACCCAGAGGAAAGAGAGCUCCUCUUUGUGAUGGUUUCAAAUCAUCUCAGGAUUGAGAUUUGCUUUUACCUCUGAAUCAAUCGAUGUGACCAGAGAUACUGACUGCUUGAUUAUAAUGACUGGACAGAUCUAGCAUCAAGACCCCCAAUAGGUCUUAGUCCAUUUGGGCUGCUAUAACAAAAUACCUCAGACUGGGAAACUUAUAAGCAACAGAAAUUGCUCACAAUCUUGGAGGCUGGGAAGAUCAAGAUCUAGGCACCUGCAGACUCAGUGUCUGGUGAGGUCUUACUCUCUGCUUCAUAGAUGGCUCUUUCUUGCUGUGUUCUUGAGCAGAAGAAGGGACAAACAUGCUCCCUCAGGCUUCUUUUAUAAGGGCACUAAUCCUAUUCAUGAAGGUGGAGCCCUUAUGACCUAACCACCUCAUGAGGUUCCCAGCUUUUAACACUAUUGCACUGGAGAUUAGGUGGCCACAUAUGAAUUUGGGAGGACACAAACAUUCAGAUCAUAGCAGCUCCUCAUGAAGCUGGUGGUAGAAUCAGCCAGACCCACCCGCAGGGACUGAGAGUUGGGAAAAAGUGGUUUCUCAAAGGAAAACUGAGGUAUUCUUACUAGAAGAGGGAAGAGAUGGUGGAAAAGCAAAAACAAGAUGACCAAUGUCUCUGAUGUAUUAGAUCAUAAGAAUCAUCAGAAUGAGUGUUAAAACUGAGAUUUCUGGGCCCUACUUCAUUCUUAUUGAAUCAGAAUCAUUAGAGGAGUUGUCCAGAGAUCAGGGGUUUAAAUAAGAUUAAUUACUGCUCCAUUUUAGUUAUUGCUUUUCCUAAAAUGUAAAGAAGUAAUUGGAAUCUUUUUUCUGUUCAUAUUAAGAUAUACUUCUUAGCUAGGUUCCAUAUCCAAGCUAAAGAGGGCUAAAUAAUUAUUGAUUGCAUUUAGAUUGUAUAGAUAAACACUUGAAAUUUGGUAUGGGGAUUAUCUGAAAUACAUAUUGAUACUUCUUCUUCUUCUAUUUUUUUUU